CCCCUAUCGGUCAUUCGGUGUACUACAGGCUUCUUAGACGUUUUUGCAUUUCAUGUACAAACCAAUUAACCACUGCAUUUUAACCUACAUACUGACCCCUACCAGUCAUUCAGUGUACUACAGGCUUCUCAGAUAUUAUUGCAUUUCAUGUACAAACCAAUGAACCACUGCAUUUUCACCUAGACACUGACCCCUAUCGGUCAUUCGGUGUACUACAGGCUUCUCAGACUUUAUUUCACUUCAUAAGCAAACAAACUAACUACAGCAUUUUACUUUUAUACUGACUCCUAUCUGUCAAACGGUAUACUACAGGCUUUUCAGACAUAUGUUUAUUCCCCUCAUAAUAUUCCCACUAUAAUUAUAAUUACACAAUAACACUUCCUUAUAAAUCAUGCUUACUAUGAUAUAAU